rnacentral:misc_RNA from 1 species
GGAAAGCCAGAACUGAGCAAUGAUAGGAAGAUGAUUCCGAUUGAAAGUUAUGGAGUUAAAUGUAUAUCAAUUGGAUCUCUUGUAGACGAAAGGGAAGCAAUUGUGUGGAGAGGGCCUAUGGUAAUGAAAGCCCUUGAACAGUUGACAAGGGGAGUGGAUUGGGGGAUCCUAGAUGUUCUUGUGAUAGAUAUGCCUCCCGGUACUGGUGAUACUCAGAUAUCAAUUUCCCAAAGGCUACAAUUAUCAGGAGGGUUGAUUGUUUCGACUCCUCAAGAUGUUGCUUUACUGGAUGCUCGCAGAGGAGUUAAAAUGUUCUCCAAGGUUAAUGUUCCGAUACUGGGAAUUUUGGAGAAUAUGAGCUACU